AUUGAACGCUGGCGGCAGGCCUAACACAUGCAAGUCGAGCGAGCGGCGGACGGGUGAGUAAUGUAUGGGGAUCUGCCCGAUAGAGGGGUAUAACUACUGGAAACUUUAGCUAAUACCGCAUACUAUCGAAUGACCCAAUUUGGGAUUAGCUAGUUGGUGGGGUAAAUGCUCACCUAGGCGACGAUCUCUAGCUGGUCUGAGAGUCUGAUUAGCCACACUGGGACUGAGACACGGCCCAGACUCCUACGGGAGGCAGCAGUGGGGAAUAUUGCACAAUGGGCGCAAGCCUGAUGCAGCCAUGCCGCGUGGAUGAAGAAGGCCUUAGGGUUGUAAAGUACUUUUAGCGGGGAGGCGUGACCCGCAGAAGAAGCACCGGCUAACUGCGUGCCAGCAGCCGCGGUAAUUC
rnacentral:rRNA from 1 species